rnacentral:rRNA from 1 species
AGCUUGCUCUUUCCGGAAUUGAGUGGCAAACGGGUGAGUAACACGUAAACAACCUGCCUUCAGGAUGGGGACAACAGACGGAAACGACUGCUAAUACCGAAUAAGUUCCAAGAGCCGCAUGGCCCAUGGAAGAAAAGGUGGCCUCUACCUGUAAGCUAUCGCCUGAAGAGGGGUUUGCGUCUGAUUAGCUGGUUGGAGGGGUAACGGCCCACCAAGGCGACGAUCAGUAGCCGGUCUGAGAGGAUGAACGGCCACACUGGAACUGAGACACGGUCCAGACUCCUACGGGAGGCAGCAGUGGGGAAUCUUCCGCAAUGGGCGAAAGCCUGACGGAGCAACGCCGCGUGAGUGAUGACGGCCUUCGGGUUGUAAAACUUUGUGAUCCGGGACGAAAAGGCAGAGUGCGAAGAACAAACUGCAUUGACGGUACCGGAAAAGCAAGCCACGGCUAACUACGUGCCAGCAGCCGCGGUAAUACGUAGGUGGCAAGCGUUGUCCGGAAUUAUUGGGCGUAAAGCGCGCGCAGGCGGCUUCCCAAGUCCCUCUUAAAAGUGCGGGGCUUAACCCCGUGAUGGGAAGGAAACUGGGAAGCUGGAGUAUCGGAGAGGAAAGUGGAAUUCCUAGUGUAGCGGUGAAAUGCGUAGAGAUUAGGAAGAACACCGGUGGCGAAGGCGACUUUCUGGACGAAAACUGACGCUGAGGCGCGAAAGCGUGGGGAGCAAACAGGAUUGGAUACCCUGGUAGUC